AAUCUAUCAAACCACACCUUUGUGAACCAACCAUGUUGGCCAGUCUUGCAUGCCUUUGGGUGUGUAAUAAUCGGGUUUUUGGGGUUUAUUAUAUUAUUAAACCCUGACUGCCCGGCUGUCGUUGCAGGGUCUUUUCCCUCAGCGGCAUCGGCCUCUUUGCUAACCCAACACCAAACAUAACCUAAAUAAAAUUCGGACGCAUGGCUUAGAGCUAUGUGUUCACACAACCAAAGACAACUCUCAACAACGGAUAUCUUGGCUCUCAGAUCGAUGAAGAACGCAGCGAAAUGCGAUACGUAGUGUGAAUUGCAGAAAUACGUGAAUCAUCGAAUCUUUGAACGCAAAUUGCGCUCGAGGCUUCGGCCAAGAGCAUGUCUGCCUCAGCGUCGGGUAAAAACUCGCUCUACAUACCCUUUGGGGUGUGUGCAAGAGCGGACCUGACUGUCUCAGCACACGCAAGUGUGCUGGGUCGGUUGAAGUUUGCAGCUGUUGGUACAUGGACCCGCUAAAUGGGCCUCUACUGGGUAGGCAACUCGUUUGCUCUAUGCUUUAGUAGACGGCUUAGGAUCUAUGUCAUGCCAACACAAAGCAGGAAUGCGCCUUUUGUGUGCAUUAAACCUUUUNUCGACCUGAGCUCAGGCAAGA
rnacentral:sRNA from 1 species